rnacentral:rRNA from 1 species
CCCUACGGGACGCAGCAGUGGGGAAUAUUGGGCAAUGGGCGCAAGCCUGACCCAGCAACGCCGCGUGAAGGAAGAAGGCCCUCGGGUUGUAAACUUCUUUUCUCAAGGACGAAACAAAUGACGGUACUUGAUGAAUAAGCCACGGCUAACUACGUGCCAGCAGCCGCGGUAAUACGUAGGUGGCAAGCGUUAUCCGGAUUUACUGGGUGUAAAGGGCGUGUAGGCGGGGCUGCA